GUGGUGGAGACGUCGCUGCUGUUUUUCUUCCCAGACAUACUAAAUAUUGCCCACUGCUCAUUCAAGGAACACCACUACCAUGUGAUUGGUGAUCCACUGCCUAGGUAGAAGGGGGGUAUUGCAAUGGCUGAUGCUACCAUUGCCUAUCAAAAUUGCCAUUUAUGGUAUUUCUUUCCCAUACGACCUUUGCUAUCCGAUCCUCACCUUUAGUGGCACUUACCUGGUGCUUAUAAGAAAUUCUUUUAGCCCAAUCACGUCUCAGAUCUAAUUUUGUACCAUCAACCAAGUCGGCUAGGAGUUAAGUGGCUGAGGCUCCUUUAGUUAUGAAAAUAAUUAGCUUAAAGGUUCAGCUCAAAAGUAACUGUACAAAAGAAAAGAAUCACACACACAAUCUGACAGGGCAUGGCAUGCACACCCCCUCUUGUGUGUGCAUGAGGCCUCACUCGUUGAUGACUGACAACUACUAUCAGAACUCACAUGCCAGGUAGCCUAUCGAUUAGUGCCUUUUUUUCUACUCACCUCUGUGGUUUAUUUUUUUAAAACUCCAUUUGGUUAUUAAAAACUAUAUUACAUUUGUGCUCUUUUCAUCAAAGAUAUGUUCAUAUACUGACCAAUUCCUGUGAUUUUAUUAUGAAAUACUAUACUUGCAAAAAUGGACGGAUCACUGUUUUUUAUUUUUUUAAAAAAAAUAAAAUGAUAUAGAUUUUAGCUCUUCUCUUGCACAAAGUAAGAGUUGUUUUCUUGUUGGUUGCCUUCUGUUCAUCAGUGGUGUGGUGUUAUAAGUGGCCCCAACUCACCCAAUUUUGGAAUGCUUAAAAGAAUGUUAGAACAGACGCCAGAUAUCUUUUAUGGGAGGACCGCUCCUUUGGGCAAUAUCACUGGCAAGAUAUGAGUGUAUGCGAGAAAUGUUGGUUCAAGAUCCCUUUUUUUAAUAUCAUUUCUCAAUUUAUAUAUUUUCUGUGUAAUACUUUAUAUUUGAUGAUUUGCUCAUGUCAGAGUCCCGUAUCAUUCUCACAUGUCCAUUUUAAUUAAUGGUUCAAUAUUUAUC